GUGAUGCUAACCUAUAUAUGAUUGGUUGCAUGCAUAAACCAAUCUACAUCCUUCCCACUUAAAGAGUAAGUAUAGUGAGCAUCCAUGCCAUUAAAGUCUUGUGCAUGUUAGUA